AGACAUUUUUUGAGGCAUAUAUAUGAAAUUCAUGUUUUUAGAGUCAGAUAAUGAGGUAGACGAUAUUUGAUGAAAUCAAUUAGUUAUAUCAAUACUCCAGCUGCGACACUACAAAACCGCCAUAGCGGAAUCGAAGGUGCCUAGAAAGCAUUGCUUCAGAGGCUCCUCCUAGAAGCCGAAGAAGUCAAUCGGAUGGAGCCCUGCCAAAGCAAACUUUGCUAUACAAAUAUCUUCAGGGAUGCUAUCGAAACAUUCAUUUGCAUGACUCGUCAAAACGUCUGCCAAGAAUUCUAUCCUCAAUGAAGUUGAGAGCUGUGCACGUCAAAGCAGCAGAAGUGCUACUAUUUUGGGUUGCGACCUUCUUCUGUUGUCGGUAUUCAUGUUGUUUCUUAUUAAUCUCUUCCCUUUGUUCGAUUUUCUUAUUAAUCUCUUCCCUUUGUUCCAUGGACAUAUCAGCUCGAUGUUUCGCUGCUGCAUAUUCCUUUCAUCCCUCUUACGCGAGGCCUCAUCUAAAGUGGGCGUGUUUGGACGAUACUUUUACUCCAAUUAGUAUGGCAUUGCGUAAAGUGCAGUAUACGAAAAUAUUAUAAGCAUACAUGUGACGUUGGUGAUAUCGCUUAGUGCUCCGCGUGUAUCUCUCGACGUAGACAUUUCGCUCUGUGCUCGGCAUAUAUAUCUCGGCAUA